UGGGGAAUUUUGGACCAUGGGGGAAACCCUGAUCCAGCCAUCCCGCGUGUGCGAUGAAGGCCUUCGGGUUGUAAAGCACUUUUGGCAGGAAAGAAACGUCAUGGGUUAAUACCCCGUGAAACUGACGGUACCUGCAGAAUAAGCACCGGCUAACUACGUGCCAGCAGCCGCGGUAAUACGUAGGGUGCAAGCGUUAAUCGGAAUUACUGGGCGUAAAGCGUGCGCAGGCGGUUCGGAAAGAAAGAUGUGAAAUCCCAGAGCUCAACUUUGGAACUGCAUUUUUAACUACCGGGCUAGAGUGUGUCAGAGGGAGGUGGAAUUCCGCGUGUAGCAGUGAAAUGCGUAGAUAUGCGGAGGAACACCGAUGGCGAAGGCAGCCUCCUGGGAUAACACUGACGCUCAUGCACGAAAGCGUGGGGAGCAAACAGG
rnacentral:rRNA from 1 species